AUUGAACGCUGGCGGCAUGCCUUACACAUGCAAGUCGAACGGUAACAGGUUAAGCUGACGAGUGGCGAACGGGUGAGUAAUAUAUCGGAACGUGCCCAGUCGUGGGGGAUAACGUAGCGAAAGCUACGCUAAUACCGCAUACGAUCUACGGAUGAAAGCGGGGGAUCGCAAGACCUCGCGCGAUUGGAGCGGCCGAUAUCAGAUUAGGUUGUUGGUGAGGUAAAAGCUCACCAAGCCUGCGAUCUGUAGCUGGUCUGAGAGGACGACCAGCCACACUGGAACUGAGACACGGUCCAGACUCCUACGGGAGGCAGCAGUGGGGAAUUUUGGACAAUGGACGCAAGUCUGAUCCAGCAAUGCCGCGUGCAGGACGAAGGCCUUCGGGUUGUAAACUGCUUUUGUACGGAACGAAACGGUGAGCUCUAAUACAGUUUGCUAAUGACGGUACCGUAAGAAUAAGCACCGGCUAACUACGUGCCAGCCGCCGCCGUAAAAC
rnacentral:rRNA from 1 species